CACGAAGGGGGCUAGCGUUGCUCGGAAUCACUGGGCGUAAAGCGCACGUAGGCGGAUUGUUAAGUCAGGGGUGAAAUCCUGGAGCUCAACUCCAGAACUGCCUUUGAUACUGGCGAUCUUGAGUCCGGGAGAGGUGAGUGGAACUGCGAGUGUAGAGGUGAAAUUCGUAGAUAUUCGCAAGAACACCAGUGGCGACGGCGGCUCACUGGCCCGGUACUGACGCUGAGGUGCGAAAGCGUGGGGAGCAAACAGG
rnacentral:rRNA from 1 species